CCUACGGGAGACAGCAGUGAGGAAUAUUGGUCAAUGGGCGCGAGCCUGAACCAGCCAAGUCGCGUGAGGGAAGACGGUCCUAUGGAUUGUAAACCUCUUUUGUCGGGGAGCAAAAGACGCCACGCGUGGCGUUCCGCGAGUACCCGAAGAAAAAGCAUCGGCUAACUCCGUGCCAGCAGCCGCGGUAAUACGGAGGAUGCGAGCGUUAUCCGGAUUUAUUGGGUUUAAAGGGUGCGCAGGCGGAAGAUCAAGUCAGCGGUAAAAUUGAGAGGCUCAACCUCUUCGAGCCGUUGAAACUGGUUUUCUUGAGUGAGCGAGAAGUAUGCGGAAUGCGUGGUGUAGCGGUGAAAUGCAUAGAUAUCGCGCAGAACUCCGAUUGCGAAGGCAGCAUACCGGCGCUCAACUGACGCUCAUGCACGAAAGUGUGGGUAUCGAACAGGAUUAGAUACCCGGGUAGUC
rnacentral:rRNA from 1 species